UACGGGGGGGGCAAGCGUUGUUCGGAAUUACUGGGCGUAAAGGGUUCGUAGGUGGCUUGCUAAGUCAGACGUGAAAUCCCUCAGCUUAACUGGGGAACUGCGUCUGAGACUGGCAGGCUUGAGUGCAGGAGAGGAACGCGGAAUUCCAGGUGUAGCGGUGAAAUGCGUAGAUAUCUGGAGGAACACCGGUGGCGAAGGCGGCGUUCUGGACUGUAACUGACACUGAGGCGCGAAAGCGUGGGGAGCAAACAGG
rnacentral:rRNA from 1 species